rnacentral:lncRNA from 1 species
CGAUGCCACACGGGUGCAACAGAAGCUUUUGUUGCUUCAGAAAACACUCUUAGAGGACUUCGCAAGUUCCAGGCAGGAUUCCAAGCGCUUUCUCUCUCUCUCCCCUCUCUGCCUUUCUCUCGCCCCCUGCCUCCACCGCGUCUCUCUCCGUCUCUCUGUUUCUGUCUGGCUGUCUCUCGGAGACCUGCCUCCAGACAAGCCGCUGGGGAUCAGAGCCAGGGGUCGGGCUCCCUGCCUGGGCCCACGAGGCCUGUUAAGCGUCCGCACCUCCUCGCAUGUCUGCCUCCGCGCCAGCCCCAGCCCUGUCCUGAGGACCCCAGGGCACGGUGAGAAGCCUAGAAGAUGUUUGGGUAGAGGUCUCUGUGCAGGGUUGGCCCACGUGGACGCUCAGUGUCCUUUAGUUUCCUCCCUUGUGGCCACGGGUGGAGGAACCCACUGGGCCUCCCCAGGGGGCCUUGCUGGGCACAGCGGGGGCCCUGGGCCGAGCCGCUCUAUUCUAACACUUGACUCCUGAGGAUCCAGUUACAGCUGAAGAGGUCCAGUCCACGGUCACCACGGUCACCACGUCCCAGCGUCGGAGAGGAGCCUGGAUCUGUUCCGACCCCCAGUGUCUCGUGGCCGGUCUGACCACUGGCAGAGAGGUGGUCCCCCCAGGCUGCUGUGGGGAUGGGGUGGUGGACGCUUGCCUGCGUCAGCAGAUUGCCGCCCCUCCGUGGUCCCCAGGGCCUAGCUCUGGGGGAGCUGAGCUGGGGGCUGGCCCGGCUCCCCCGAAGCUGGCGUUCUGGAACCACUGGGAGCAGCCUUCCCGAGGCCGCUGCUUGUUCAUGCUCAGGUCCAGGGUCCCGUUCUCAUCCACCUCCAUGUCAGGGUUCUGCAAGAUGGAAGGACAAGCUGACCACACGCCUCUCCCCUCAGACCACAGCCCUUCCGCCAGGACAGAAUCCAAGCCUCAGAUGUCUCAGGGCAGCCUCACGUGCAAAAGCUCCCCAGGUGAGAGAAGCGGUCCCCUCAUCCGUCCUGCUCCCCGCGCUGUGAAAGCUUGAAACUGGCUGGCAGGUGCACAGGGCAUCCAUCUUUCUGCUUAUCUACGGACCACCUCUCACUCUCUCUUGCCUCUUAUCCACUAAUCUAUCAUCUCUCUCUCACUUAACUAUCAUAGAUCUGUAUCUUUUUUCCCUAAUAUGUCUCUGCUUUUAGAAAUAAGCCUCACCAGAAGAAAAACAAAUGCCUGAUUUCAAUUUUAUCACAGUUCAAAAAGAGAUCAGAAAUGGAUGUGUGUACAAAUUAUACAUAUAUACGUAAAAAUGUACACAGACUUAAAAUUCUCCUUUAGUUUCACUGAUGCUAAUACUCCCAGACUUGGAGAUGAAGAAAAUACAAGAAUUUAGAGGGAUGGAGGAGAGGAACUAUAAUUUACUUCCUUUUUUUUGGGGGGGGGAAUCAAACUGAGUCCUAUCAGGUACAGGCUCUGGGAAUACAGUAGUGAACAAAUCAAAACAAAACCCCACACACAGAACUUACUUUCCAACACAAAACCUUAUCAUAUGUGAGAAAGAGGAUUUUCUAUUUUAAGGCAGGGAAAUGUGCAAUCACAGCACAACACGAUUCCACAGCAGUGAUCACGGCUGACCUGCUUAAGGGUCAGCAAACCUGCAGUUUAGUCACCCAGCUUUGCAAAAGCCAAAGAGGUACAGGGUGAGGGCUUUCUUUUCUUUCUUUCUUUCUUUCUUUUUUUUUUUUUUUGAUGUUUUAACAGAUCAAGAAUCCCUGAGAAUCCUCCUCUCGGGAAUGGGGAGAGAAGGGAAGGGCAGAUGGAGGACAGAGGAAAGAAAAAUCAAAAUACCCCCGACAAUCCUCCAUUUUUUCUCCCCCAAAGAGUCAUACUCUCUUGAGCAGUUUGAUGUCAGAGCUGGCGCGAACGCCGCUGCCUACUCAAAGGUCUGGCGUCUCUUUCCUCAGGAUGCCACAGCAGAGGGAUGGUGCCUGGCACCAGCCUCCGCCUCCGGGCUGUUACGGGGUGAAUCCCAGCGCACUAUGCUGCCUGAACCCUCCUUGCCACAGUGCACCUCUGGUUUCCAGCUUUCAGACUAAUACAGCCUUCACCAUGUCGGACUGUAAUUCCCUUGGUCUUAGUUUAUAUUUAAUAAAGCGAAAAAAAAAAAACAAUCGAAGGGGCUAUUGUCUUUUGUUUUUCCCCUUGCCACAGAAUUUCCUCCAUUGCAGCCUGGCAUUUUAGCAGCCCUGAUGACCAUGGAAAUUGCAUGCCCCUGACACUCCUUCAAAAUCCAGGAAUAAAAAUAUUAAUAGAGAAGAAAGCAUUUGCAAGACAUAAAAUUACUGACCUUUCUCCAUUCACACAAAUCACACCUAUUUCUAACAACUACGGUCAGUGUGGUGUGCUCGGGAGCGUGCCCAGCGGCGCUGGGUGACGGGACGGCCCUUUGUUCUGGAGACGAGAGCCGCCCGCUCGCCGGCGUGGGCAGGACGCGCUAGCGCCCGGGCCCCUGGCCGCCUGGCGGCCUCUCUGGGCAGCUCCGGGCGCGGCGGGGCCGAGCGACUCCCUCUCCUGCCCGGAACCGGUCACCAGGACCCGACCGCUUUGGCAUCUGCGGCGCUCUGAACUAAUGGAAGCUGACUGUAAUUGCUUGGCUGGGAGCCCGCGGGGAAACGGGAGUUUUGCCCUUUCUUUGUUCCCCAGCUCUGGGCUGGAGGGCGCGGUCCAGCCCGCCCGCGGCGGCCUCCGCCCGCGGCGCUGCACACCCUCCUCUGAUUAAGGGCGGGGGCGCAAGGCCCCUCGAGGUCCCUAGUCUCCGUGCUUCCCUCGGGAUCGCCAGGAGGGGAGCCAGGUGUGGGUCCUAAAAGGGGGAGGGGCGGUGCUCCUAAAUGCACAGGUGGACUGAUCUGGAAAAUGUGUCCCCAAGGCCCUGGGCAGGCAGGCCU